AUCAGAGAGGUUGAACCAAUCAGCCCACUCUUCUGGGUCAUCUGUUGUUCCUUCUCAUUCCUUCUCCCCUUUUGUGCCCCCCACCCCCAUAUUGCAAGGGUCACAGCCUGGAAACGACUUUCCCCAAACCUUUUGACAGCGGAGAUCUUGUUCAGUGCCUGCCAGCGAGGGCACUGGUGUGAACUGCAGAAGCCCAACAGAAGGAGAAGUUGGCGUGGGCGAGGGUGGGAGGUGGGGGUUUCGAUAAGACCUGGUGUGCGUUUGCCAGUGGUUCUCAGGUGUGGUUCCCUGCGAACCCCACAAGUGCACAGCUAGGGUCUGCAGUGGGCUCCCUGCAGCUUCUGCUCUCCUGAGAUUCCCGGACACUCCAGAAGCUUCCCUGCCCUUUACUCUUUCUGACAGUUCUGUGAGCCUGUAAGUGCCUGCGUGAAGUCUGCUCCUGACUGACGUACCUGGAGCGUGUUCCGUUUCCAUGCUCACCGCUGGCUGGUACACAGUAGAAUUUGUAACAGUGCCUGUGGCUCUGUCUUCUAACCACCAAGCACUUGCCAGCGUUUCGUCGGCGUUUGAUGAGAUCAAACGGAAACUGACGGUGUCAAACUGAAAAUGCCGCCUCCUGCAGUUUUAAUUUCGGAAGUGCGCGUGUGAGGCCGGACAGUCUUCGUGUGCUUAAUGCUGUUUGUCCUUCCUUUUCCGUAAACUGGGCUCAUGGCCUCGGUUUGCUUUUCUCUUGUCCUAUUAGUUUUCUUACCGAUCUAAAGAACUCCUUUUUUUUGGAUGAAGAAGAAAUAACACUUUGUGACAUAAAUUCCGAGCCCUUUCCCCGGUUUUGUGCUGCCUGCGUGUGGCCGAGGCAGGACCACCCAUGAUUCCGUGUGCUUCCCGACGACCCUCUGCUCCCCUGAAGCUCCACCGCGAGCUCCUGCGGUUCUGCGCAUCGUCCCACCGUGAUCUGUCCUGGCCCAAGACGUGAGCGCGAGCGUCUCCUCCUGAGGGCACCGCCGCUGCGUCGGGCCUCCUCCGGGCCCCCGCCCUGCGAGUGGCCCCACGUCCCGAUGCGUUCAUGUCCCUGAUUGCAGGCUGCUCUGUGGACUGCAGUCUCUGCCAUUCCAAAGUGCCUUUUUGGUUUGGCAUAAUCCCUCUCGUCCCCUCUCCGACAUCGGUUGCCAGCCUGCAUUUUUUUAUGCGUUUUUCUUGGACGCAUCGCUCUUUAACCCGAGUCGCGUUGUUUUCCAAUCAUCUCAGGACGGAGCCUGUGUUUUCCUUCCUGGCCCAGUUUUACCCUCUUUCUGAGGCGCCCUCUGUUGUCGUCAGAUUUUCUGCUUUUGAUCACGUCUGAAGAAUGUCCGUCACUGCAGGUCCUUGGUGUCCUUUCGCUGUGUUGUCUGUGUUUAGUGUGCAGGAGUUUGCCUAGUGGCCGCCUCGUGGUUCUGGCUUGGUUUGCUCCGCUCCGUCCUUUACUGAUGACACACGAUGGGAAACUACGGCACAAGCACGCCUCGGCUUCCUCUGCAGCGUUGCUUGGUUUCCCUUUUCCCUCUCAGAGUCUGCGGCUGUGCGUCCCCACAUCCUUGCACACCUAGCAGCUGACUUACCAGACUGAAGCACAUUUUGUCUCUGGUCAUGACGCGUGAGGAAGUCCGUGUCCCUCUGGCACCCCUCGAACGACCUACCCUUUCUCUUCCAGCCUCUGAGAGUCUCAGGGUUUCUCAGCUGUGCUCAUACUUAACACUUACAGCUUCUCUGGUAGCUAACACCCCGCAAGCGUUUUCGUCUCCCUCCUAGUUAGCCGCGCGCGUGUCUCACCGCCGUGCCUCCGCUCCGCUGCCGCCGCACGUCUCUCGCCCAGAGCUGCCUUCCGGUGGCUCCUGCAGGAUGAGCUCGUUUUAAGGCUUUUCCUCUGGAUGCUGAAAUUUCAAAACUUCUUUGUCUUUUGUCUUUGUGCUUGGACGGCGGGUGGGCUGGCUGCGAAGCUCGUGGGCCCCCGUCUCCCCUUUGAGGACGCGGCGGGCUUCAUCGUCUGAUGCCCGCGCGGGUGUGUCAUGGAGACGGCUGAGGCCGGGCUACUGGCCUUCCCUUUCCGUGGCUUGGUUUUUCCCUCUGGCUGCUGAAGUAAUGCUUUCCUCAUCUGUAACCUCGAGCAACCUUGCUAGCAUCUUUUGCCAGUUUUUCCCCUGAGACAUGCGCCUUUCCCUCUGUAGACUCCAGUCCUGUUUCCUGACGAGAGUUGUUCUUGAACGGUAUUAGACAUUCUCCUGUUUGACUAACUUGCUCUCUCCUUCGGAGACGCCAGCCCUGUCUGUCCCCCUGUCGUCUCCCGCGUCUGUGGGCUUCCACCCCACUUGCUUGCCUUUCUCGGCCUGUUCCGUGUCUGUCGCCAUGCUGUCCUCAGUGUGUGCAUUUGUCUCCGCACCACGUUCAGCUGGGUUUGCGCUGCAGGAGUGGCUUUACGUAUUCCUUGCGCUUUCUUCCUGUGUGCUGCCGCUUUUCGUCCACCUCCUCUUGGUUUUCUCUCCAUCCUUUACCUCUGCUUUGGGCUCUUGUACGUAUAGAGCUGACUCCCCAUUAAACUGAACAUGUCCCCUGACCGCGGCGAAGUGUCUGGUGUGUGUUACAGACCAGCAGAGAGUCUCCUGAGGGCUCAGGCUGCGUGGCUGUGGUUCUGCGUCUCCCUGGCCGCACUGGGGGCCACACUUAUUUCACAGCAGAGCCCCUCCCCGGCCCAACCCUUUACGAAACGGCUUCCUGCCAAUGGAGCAUCUCAGUGGGAUGCCCGGUUCAGUCCCGUCUUUCUCUUCUGGGAACCUGCCAGCUUGGUGCAAGGAUGCUCUGUCACAGGUCUGUGUCUGGGUCCCCUCGUCCAAAACUGGUGGAAAGUCCUCGCCGUGGUGUAGGCUUCCCUCUGACACCUGCCCCGACAGGCAGCCCUUCCUGGCCCCUUUCCCUGCGUCUGUGCGACCCACUGUGCGUGGCAGCCCCCUGGCACUGAGGUUCAGGCCUACACACACUUCUGUGUUUCAUUUUCUUCUGUGCUUUGUGGUUAAUGCCUAAAAAGAGGCAGGGGGAACCGCUAUCUUUCCCUUGCCAUUCGAAAACCUGCUUUUAUUUUUAUUUAACUCUGCCUUGCAUGGUUUGUUAGUGAAGCUGAAUACUGAUCAUAUAUUCUCAAUAAGGAAUUUACAGAAAUCAAGUAAAAAAGUUUCUUUUGUCUAGCACAGGGAACUAGGUUCAACAUCUUGUAAUUUUUUAAUGGAAAAAAUAUGAAAACCAAUCUAUAUAUGUGUGCGCCUGGCUGGGACAUCGUGCUGUGCAUCAGAUUCACACAUCGCAGCUGACUGUACUUCAAUUAAAA